rnacentral:lncRNA from 1 species
AUGCUUAUAAGAAAAUGACUUUUAUGGGUAACAUGAAUUUUAAGAUAUUUCCAACAAUCUCAAUUGUGGAUAUCAUGUUUCCAUUGCCUAAUAACACAUUGCAGCAACCACCAAUAUCAACGUAAAGCGUACCCAUAGUCCAAUCCACAAAUUAAUGGGAUAAAAUUUAAACAAAAAAUUAUGAUAUAUUGUCUUCUUCGCACUUGCUUUCUUUACAGGCCCGACACUAUUUUCUUUUCAUGGUCGAGAUUUUCGCUGGUUGUAGUUUGUUUUAUUUUUCUAGUUUUCCCUAUUGAAGCUUCCUCAUUUGAAAUCAAUUCACAAUCGAGGCUCCUUCUAAAAGACAUCGAAGAAUCGGGUUUGUGUAUGGGUUAGGACUUUGAGGUGAGAAUGUUCGCAACUAUAAAAGAACAAUGAAGCCAAUACGGGUCCGAUGAUAAAUGGUCUAUCUGUGGAGAUUGUGAAAGGAUGGAAACUGGGAAUGGUGGUUUUACGCGUCUGGCUCUUGACAAAUGACGCUUGGUUUUUCUCUCUCUCCAAUUGAAUGUGAGUUUUGAAUUUUAACCAUUGUAAAAUGAGAACGAAGGCUGAAAAUGGUUAGGAACGGUGAAGUUGUGGAGAUGAAAAUGGGUUGGAGACGACGAAUGAUGGUUUUCUCAAUAGGGCAGGGGCUUAGAAAAUGAUGCUUGGAUUUUUACUUUCUCUAGUUGAAUUGUGACUUGAUUUGCUAUCCGUCUUCAAUGUUCAACAUAGUGCAGAGGUGAUUUGUGAGAGUUAAAAGCCUUAGUGGUGUUGCAACAGCAGGCUCAUUGGGGUGGGGUCGGUCAAGAGUUGGUGGUGUUGUUUCUUGAGUUUGAAGUUAUUCCUUCGAAAACAAUCUGACAGAAUCACCUGAAUGUAAGAAUUGAUCAACAGGAUCCAAAAUUGUAAUUCGAGCCCACUGACUUCACGAUGUUUCCUUAAAACGAAUUUGCUGCUUUCAAUGGUGUUAAAGGCGUCCAGCAAUCGUUUCACAGGAUAGAACGAAUUUUCGUCUCCUACGGAAGCAGCACUGCAAUCUGCAAGAGUUUCAACGAACUCAACGAAGUGUGUUUUACUUCGAGACAAUAUCAGAACGAGAGAGAGGGGAAUGAGAUUCAAAACACAAAAAGUUUGCAAUGAAAAUGGUGUGAAUUUUCUGGUAGAGAGGCAGGCUAUUUAUAAACUUGUUCGUGACCAUUCGAAUAGUCAUUACCUUUCAGACAAUCCUCAAAAAUCCGAACAGAUAUGCUGUUCUUAAAAGUCGCGUCUGUUAAGUCGGUUAACAGUCGGCUGACUGUUUGGUCGGUUAACAGAUGACUGUUAAAAGAAAAUAAAAUACCUGAAAUAAGUCAAAAUUUAAAUUUCAUAGUGUA